AAGUUGUGACUUCCUCUUUCAAACAUAUACAUGAAGUGUGAAUUCGACUGAACCAACAACUUAUUUAUGGCAUGACAGAAAGUACCAACACAGGAAGUGGUGUUAAUAGGAAGCGACCAGUAAGGACAGAUAUUCUGUGACGACAACACUUGACAAUCCUCACAAUCCGAGAGCCACGAUUCUAGAUCAUGAUUUAAACAUGACCAACACUUUGCUGUGCUUAUUACUUCCCAGUUUUCUCCUCUGCUGUGGAAAUCUUACAGCAGCACUAAAGCCAGUCCUGACUGUGUUUCCAUCUUGGCCGAGUCCUGGAGACUCAGUGACUCUGAACUGUGAGGUUAAACCUUCGUCUGCAGGAUGGAGCUUCUACUGGUAUAAAGUUGUUCCUGAUCUGUCAAAGAACAACUACAGAUAUG